AGAGCGAACGCUGGCGGCAGGCUUAACACAUGCAAGUCGAGCGGGCGUAGCAAUACGUCAGCGGCAGACGGGUGAGUAACGCGUGGGAACGUACCUUUUGGUUCGGAACAACCCAGGGAAACUUGGGCUAAUACCGGAUAAGCCCUUACGGGGAAAGAUUUAUCGCCGAAAGAUCGGCCCGCGUCUGAUUAGCUAGUUGGUGAGGUAAUGGCUCACCAAGGCGACGAUCAGUAGCUGGUCUGAGAGGAUGAUCAGCCACAUUGGGACUGAGACACGGCCCAAACUCCUACGGGAGGCAGCAGUGGGGAAUAUUGGACAAUGGGCGCAAGCCUGAUCCAGCCAUGCCGCGUGAGUGAUGACGGCCUUAGGGUUGUAAAGCUCUUUCGCUAGGGACGAUAAUGACGGUACCUAGACAAGAAGCCCCGGCUAACUUCGCGCCAGCAGCCGC
rnacentral:rRNA from 1 species